UACAGACUUGUGCUUUCUGAGGACCAAUCAGAGCUCUGCUGAAGAUCAUGUGACCAGCAAUGACCACACCUCCUCUCCAAAUGAUGUUACUUAUUCCGUGGUUGAACUAAAAAGUAGAAGAGUGAGGAACAACCCCCCACAAGACGAGAGCUGUAUUUAUUCUGAUGUGAUUCCACACUCUUCAGGUGAUAAUGUGACAUACGCCCAAGUGAACCACCACAAAAAGAGGAAGAAUAAAGCAAAAAACACCUUUGAUGACACCGUUUACUCUCAGAUCAAAUAGGCUCAAACUUGUUGAAGGAG